rnacentral:lncRNA from 1 species
CAGGGGUUCAAUCUGAUUCAUCUCUAUUUCCCCAGGGCCCAGCACAAUUGCCAGAUUUCAGUCCAUGCAAUUAAUCAAUGCCUGUCGCUGAAGCAAUAAAACUGCCCUCACAGGAGGCCAGCAAUGCCCACCUGAAUUCACUAGCUCGGGCCACCAGACUCAGAUUCAGUGGUUAGGGCGCUAUCUACCCCCACAAAUCCCUGCGCCCUCCUCAAUGGGAUUUGAAGACUGAGAUUACCACUCACCAGCACAUCCCUGAAGAGUAACUGCGGCCCGGAGUGCACUGUCCAGUCCACCGCGCCACUAUUUGGAAUCUUGAUACGAAUCACCAGCACCUGGUUCUCCAUGGCAUGGAAGGGGCCAAGGGCCAGCCACAGCAUUACAGGAAGAGAAAAUAACAGUGGGAACAAUUCCAGCACUCAUGCAGGAG